rnacentral:rRNA from 1 species
GAUGAACGCUGGCGGCGUGCCUAAUACAUGCAAGUCGAGCGAACAGACGAUGAGCUUGCUCCUCUGACGUUAGCGGCGGACGGGUGAGUAACACGUGGAUAACCUACCUAUAAUACUGGGAUAACUUCGGGAAACCGGAGCUAAUACCGGAUAAUAUAUUGAACCGCAUGGUUCAAUAGUGAAAGACGGUUUUGCUGUCACUUAUAGAUGGAUCCGCGCCGCAUUAGCUAGUUGGUAAGGUAACGGCUUACCAAGGCAACGAUGCGUAGCCGAACUGAGAGGGUGAUCGGCCACACUGGAACUGAGACACGGUCCAGACUCCUACGGGAGGCAGCAGUAGGGAAUCUUCCGCAAUGGGCGAAAGCUUGACGGAGCAACGCCGCGUGAGUGAUGAAGGUCUUCGGAUCGUAAAACUCUGUUAUUAGGGAAGAACAAAUGUGUAAGUAACUAUGCACGUCUUGACGGUACCUAAUCAGAAAGCCACGGCUAACUACGUG